rnacentral:rRNA from 1 species
GGAUUAGAUACCCUGGUAGUCCACGCCCUAAACGAUGGAUACUAGGCGUGAGAGGUAUCGACCCCUCUCGUGCCGCAGCUAACGCAUUAAGUAUCCCGCCUGGGGAGUACGGCCGCAAGGUUGAAACUCAAAUGAAUUGACGGGGACCCGCACAAGCGGUGGAGCAUGUGGAUUAAUUCGAUACUAACCGAAGAACCUUACCCAGACUUGACAUCGAUCGCAAGCCUUUGAAAGAAGGCCCUCCCUCUCAAGGGGACGUGAAGACACUUGUUGCAUGGCUGUCGUCAGCUCGUGCCG